CCUACGGGAGGCAGCAGUGGGGAAUUUUCCGCAAUGGACGAAAGUCUGACGGAGCGACGCUGCGUGAAGGAUGACGGCCUGCGGGUUGUAAACUUCUUUUCUCGAAGAAGAAGCUCUGACGGUAUUCGAG
rnacentral:rRNA from 1 species